CAAAUGACAGUGACGAGAGAAAAGCGCGUCAGUAGAGAAGCACAUCCACAUCGAUAACGGUUGUGUCAUUGAUGAUAGAGGCGCCAGGUGGCGUCGUAACAUACACACUGGGUGAUGGCUCAGAGGAAAGCAUUUACCACACUGGGAGCAUUUGAAAGGAUUUUCUCCAGUAUGAAUUGUCAGGUGAAUCCUCAGACUCCCGUUCUGAGAAAAGCGUUUGCCACAGUGAGAGCAUCUGAAAGGCUUUUCUCCAGAGUGACAUCUCAUAACAAGUCAGGGGUCCACAGCAGGAUUUCAAGUGUAGAGUCAGCCCAGACUUUGAGGAACAUUUCCUCCCACAUCCAGAGCAGGUCAGUGAUUCCUCAUCAUCCUUCUUUCCAAGGACUUGAACCUUUGGAUUCUCCGAAUACUCUGAACCCUCUCUCCAGUCCUCACUGUCAUCCG